GUAAACGAUGAUAACUCGCUGUCGGCGAUAUAAAGUCGGUGGCCAAGCGAAAGCGAUAAGUUAUCCACCUGGGGAGUACGACCGCAAGGUUGAAACUCAAAGGAAUUGACGGGGGCCCGCACAAGCGGAGGAACAUGUGGUUUAAUUCGAUGAUACGCGAGGAACCUUACCCGGGCUCGAACGGUGCAGGAAUACUUCAGAGAUGGAGUAGCUAGCAAUAGUCUGUAUCGAGGUGCUGCAUGGUUGUCGUCAGCUCGUGCCGUGAGGUGUCGGCUUAAGUGCCAUAACGAGCGCAACCCUUGUCGUUAGUUGCCAUCAGGUAAAGCUGGGGACUCUAGCGAGACUGCCACCGUAAGGUGUGAGGAAGGGGGGGAUGACGUCAAAUCAGCACGGCCCUUACGUCCGGGGCGACACACGUGUUACAAUGGCAGGUACAGAGGGGAGCUACCCAGCGAUGGGGUGCGAAUCUCAAAAGCCUGUCUCAGUUCGGAU
rnacentral:rRNA from 1 species